rnacentral:misc_RNA from 1 species
GAUGAAGAACGUAGCGAAAUGCGAUACGUAGUGUGAAUUGCAGAAUCCAGUGAAUCAUCGAAUCUUUGAACGCACAUUGCGCCCGCCGGCAUCCCGGCGGGCAUGCCUGUUCGAGCGUCAUUUCAACCAUCAAGCCCCAGGCUUGUGUUGGGGACCUGCGGCUGCCGCAGGCCCUGAAAACCAGUGGCGGGCUCGCUGUCACACCGGGCGUAGUAGAUUUUAUCUCGCUCAGGGCGUGCUGCGGGUUCCGGCCGUUAAAAAGCCUUUUUUACCCAAGGUUGACCUCGGAUCAGGUAGGAAGACCCGCUGAACUUAAGCAUAUCAAUAAGCGGAGGA